rnacentral:rRNA from 1 species
AGUGAACGCUGGCGGUAGGCCUAACACAUGCAAGUCGAACGGCAGCACAGUAAGAGCUUGCUCUUACGGGUGGCGAGUGGCGGACGGGUGAGGAAUACAUCGGAAUCUACUUUUUCGUGGGGGAUAACGUAGGGAAACUUACGCUAAUACCGCAUACGACCUACGGGUGAAAGCAGGGGAUCUUCGGACCUUGCGCGAUUGAAUGAGCCGAUGUCGGAUUAGCUAGUUGGCGGGGUAAAGGCCCACCAAGGCGACGAUCCGUAGCUGGUCUGAGAGGAUGAUCAGCCACACUGGAACUGAGACACGGUCCAGACUCCUACGGGAGGCAACAGUGGGGAAUAUUGGACAAUGAGCGAAAGCCUGAUCCAGCCAUACCGCGUGGGUGAAGAAGGCCUUCGGGUUGUAAAGCCCUUUUGUUGGGAAAGAAAAGCAGCAGGUUAAUACCCCGCUGUUCUGACGGUACCCAAAGAAUAAGCACCGGCUAACUUCGUG